GGUAGCAACCCGUUUGGUUAUCUUUCUGUGCUGUGGAAGGUUUGUUCUUUCACUCUGCACUAUUUUGCAAUAAAUAUUGCUAUUGCUCACUUUGGGUUUAUAUUGCCUUUAUGAGCUGUAACACUCACCAUGAAGGUCUGCAGCUUUACUCUUGAAGCUUAGCGAGACCACUAACCCACCAGAAGGAAGAAACUCCGGACACGCCGCCUUUAAGAACUGUAAUACUCAGUGCGAGGGUUCACGGCUUCAUUCUUGAGAAAGACAACGAGGAGGGAGCAGCUAGAGGGGUGGAAAUGGGAUCACGUGACCUUGCGAGAAGCAGGGAGAGAGAACACUGCGUCUGCUCCCUUUUAGAACAGCUCAAUAUAGGGAAUCCCUAACAGAGGACUUCCAGGAUAUCCUAGGGACAGCAGAGCCUCAAGAUCCAGGGAGGAUCCUGGAUACCUGAGUCACCACUUGGAGGGGAAUCUCCUGGAAGAACUGAUUGAUCAGCAACAUCUACAUUCAACUUGAGGUUGUUCCGUAAGACAGGAUGGCACAGAGCUUUAAGCAACAGCUCUGGCAUCUGACUUCCGUGUUUGCAUCUGGCUUUGAGUGUGACUUUGGACAAGUUCCUUAGCUGGCCAGAUACUCUUGUCCUCAUCCAUAAGAUGGAGCAACAACGAAGCCUUUCUCAUAGGUUAUUGUGAGGAUUGAAUGAAUUAGUAUAUGCCAAGCAUUUGAAGCAGUGCCUGACAUGUAGUAGAUGCUGAGUAACACUGGGGAUCUGCCUUUUCUUUUUCCUCUAUGUGACUGGCAGCCUUAGCCAGACCACAUCAGCUGAGAUGAUUUUCUCUGUAAGUUACCAGGAUCACCUAGAUCUGGCCAAGGACUUGCCCCUGUAAGGAAAUUUGGAAUAAGCAAAAAAGAUCACUAGGUGUCGCCGAUGGAAAACUAGGUUGUUUUGAGCAUACCUUUGCAUGUUAUCUGAUUUUAGCCUUUCAGGGUCUUUGAGCUAUUUUAUGGCUCUGUAGGUUGUACAUAACUGAUAGCAAUGCAAAAUAAUUCUUGUCUAUAGACAUGCAAAUAAAUCCUGUCCAGCGGUUCAAUUGACUACCCUCUUCCCUAAGGAAAAAGCCAGUUUCAGUCUAUUUGUAAAUUCAUUUCCACUUUCCUUACUCCCUAUAAAUUUCUGCUUUUCAGAUUUCUCCUUUGUUAACGUCUGCCUGGUUCCCUCAUUAAGUCAAAUAAAAU
rnacentral:lncRNA from 1 species